rnacentral:rRNA from 1 species
CAGCCGCCACGGGAAUACGGAGGGUGCAAGCGUUAAUCGGAAUUACUGGGCGUAAAGCGUGCGUAGGUGGUGGUUUAAGUCCGUUGUGAAAGCCCUGGGCUCAACCUGGGAAUUGCAGUGGAUACUGGGUCACUAGAGUGUGGUAGAGGAUAGUGGAAUUUCCGGUGUAGCAGUGAAAUGCGUAGAGAUCGGAAGGAACAUCUGUGGCGAAGGCGACUAUCUGGGCCAACACUGACACUGAGGCACGAAAGCGUGGGGAGCAAACAGGAUUAGAUACCCCAGUAGUCCCUGUCUCUUAUAC